rnacentral:rRNA from 1 species
GAACGGGGAUAUAUUGGAAUGAGGAUUCGUCUGAAGGAAAAUGUAUCUUAGUGGCGGACGGGUGAGUAACGCGUGGGCAACCUACCGUAUACAGGGGGAUAACACUUAGAAAUAGGUGCUAAUACCGCAUAAGCGCACAGCAGUGCAUACUGGAGUGUGAAAAGCCGAGACGGUAUACGAUGGGCCCGCGUCUGAUUAGCCAGUUGGCAGGGUAACGGCCUACCAAAGCGACGAUCAGUAGCCGGCCUGAGAGGGCGGACGGCCACAUUGGGACUGAGACACGGCCCAGACUCCUACGGGAGGCAGCAGUGGGGGAUAUUGCACAAUGGGGGGAACCCUGAUGCAGCGACGCCGCGUGAGUGAAGAAGUAAUUCGUUAUGUAAAGCUCUAUCAGCAGGGAAGAAUAAAUGACGGUACCUGAGUAAGAAGCCCCGGCUAACUACGUGCCAGCAGCCGCGGUAAUACGUAGGGGGCAAGCGUUAUCCGGAUUUACUGGGUGUAAAGGGAGCGUAGACGGCGAUGCAAGCCAGAUGUGAAAGCCCGCGGCUCAACUGCGGUAGUGCAUUUGGAACUGUAUGGCUGGAGUGCAGGAGAGGCAGGCGGAAUUCCUAGUGUAGCGGUGAAA